rnacentral:rRNA from 1 species
AACGCUAGCUACAGGCUUAACACAUGCAAGUCGAGGGGAAACGACAUCGAAAGCUUGCUUUUGAUGGGCGUCGACCGGCGCACGGGUGAGUAACGCGUAUCCAACCUGCCCACCACUUGGGGAUAACCUUGCGAAAGUAAGACUAAUACCCGAUGAUAUCCCUAGAAGACAUCUGAAAUGGAUUAAAGAUUUAUCGGUGAUGGAUGGGGAUGCGUCUGAUUAGCUUGUUGGCGGGGUAACGGCCCACCAAGGCAACGAUCAGUAGGGGUUCUGAGAGGAAGGUCCCCCACAUUGGAACUGAGACACGGUCCAAACUCCUACGGGAGGCAGCAGUGAGGAAUAUUGGUCAAUGGGCGAGAGCCUGAACCAGCCAAGUAGCGUGCAGGAUGACGGCCCUAUGGGUUGUAAACUGCUUUUAUAAGGGAAUAAAGUGAGUCUCGUGAGACUUUUUGCAUGUACCUUAUGAAUAAGGACCGGCUAAUUCCGUGCCAGCAGCCGCGGUAAUACGGAAGGUCCGGGCGUUAUCCGGAUUUAUUGGGUUUAAAGGGAGCGUAGGCCGGAGAUUAAGCGUGUUGUGAAAUGUAGACGCUCAACGUCUGCACUGCAGCGCGAACUGGUUUCCUUGAGUACGCACAAAGUGGGCGGAAUUCGUGGUGUAGCGGUGAAAUGCUUAGAUAUCACGAAGAACUCCGAUUG